rnacentral:rRNA from 1 species
AGUGAACGCUGGCGGUAGGCCUAACACAUGCAAGUCGAACGGCAGCACAGUAAGAGCUUGCUCUUACGGGUGGCGAGUGGCGGAGGGGUGAGGAAUACAUCGGAAUCUACUUUUUCGUGGGGGAUAACGUAGGGAAACUUACGCUAAUACCGCAUACGCCCUACGGGUGAAAGCAGGGGAUCUUCGGACCUUGCGCGUUUGAAUGAGCCGAUGUCGGAUUAGCUAGUUGGCGGGGUAAAGGCCCACCAAGGCGACGAUCCGUAGCUGGUCUGAGAGGAUGAUCAGCCACACUGGAACUGAGACACGGUCCAGACUCCUACGGGAGGCAGCAGUGGGGAAUAUUGGACAAUGGGCGCAAGCCUGAUCCAGCCAUACCGCGUGGGUGAAGAAGGCCUUCGGGUUGUAAAGCCCUUUUGUUGGGAAAGAAAAGCAGCAGGUUAAUACCCCGCUGUUCUGACGGUACCCAAAGAAUAAGCACCGGCUAACUUCGUG